rnacentral:rRNA from 1 species
UACGAAGGGGGCUAGCGUUGCUCGGAAUCACUGGGCGUAAAGGGUGCGUAGGCGGGUUUUUAAGUCAGAGGUGAAAUCCUGGAGCUCAACUCCAGAACUGCCUUUGAUACUGAAAGUCUUGAGUAUGGGAGAGGUGAGUGGAACUGCGAGUGUAGAGGUGAAAUUCGUAGAUAUUCGCAAGAACACCAGUGGCGAAGGCGGCUCACUGGCCCAUAACUGACGCUGAGGCACGAGAGCGUGGGGAGCAAACAGG